UUUGCAUAUCAAUAAGCGGAGGAAAAGAAACCAACAGGGAUUGCCUCAGUAACGGCGAGUGAAGCGGCAAAAGCUCAAAUUUGAAAUCUAGCACCUUCGGUGUUCGAGUUGUAAUUUGAAGAUGGUAACCUUGGGUUUGGCUCUUGUCUAUGUUCCUUGGAACAGGACGUCAUAGAGGGUGAGAAUCCCGUCUGAUGAGAUGCCCAUUCCUAUGUAAGGUGCUAUCGAAGAGUCGAGUUGUUUGGGAAUGCAGCUCUAAGUGGGUGGUAAAUUCCAUCUAAAGCUAAAUAUUGGCGAGAGACCGAUAGCGAACAAGUACAGUGAUGGAAAGAUGAAAAGAACUUUGAAAAGAGAGUGAAAAAGUACGUGAAAUUGUUGAAAGGGAAGGGCAUUAGAUCAGACUUGGUGUUUUACGAUUAUCUUCUCUUCUUGAGUUGUGCACUCGUAUUUCACUGGGCCAGCAUCGAUUCGGAUGGCAAGAUAAUGGCAGUUGAAUGUGGCUUCACUUCGGUGGAGUGUUAUAGCUUCUGCUGAUAUUGCCUGUCUGGAUCGAGGGCUGCGUCUUUUGACUAGGAUGCUGGCGUAAUGAUCUAAUGCCGCCCGUCUUGAACACGGAACCA
rnacentral:rRNA from 1 species